GGAGAGGUUCCCGAGUGGCCAAAGGGGACAGACUGUAAAUCUGCUGCUUCUUGCUUCGGUGGUUCGAAUCCACCCCUCUCCACCA
rnacentral:tRNA from 1 species